GAGAGAAGAAGAAAGUGGUUACGUAGUAGUGCUUUGGAUCCGUCCGUUCCACAUUUCUUGUUGUUGUUGACAUGGCUCAAAGCGUGUCUGUUUUAGGAUUUAUUUUAGGACAUUUUAGGAUUUAUCUUGAUUCAAUUUGUUAUUUUUGGUAUUACUAUGGACUAGCUUGAAAUCAUGGUUGUGAAUUCAGUGCAUUGGUUCCGUAAGGGACUGCGGUUACACAAUAAUCCGGCUUUACAGGAAGCUCUAAAUGGCACGGACACUGUGCGAUGUGUUUAUAUUUUGGAUCCGUGGUUUGCUGGUUCCGCCAACGUCGGCAUCAACAGAUGGAGUGACAUUCAGCUUACGGAGGAUGCGGUGCACCGCUACCUGAUCCGGAAGCCCAUGACCACCAAGGACCUGCUGAAGAAGUUCCAGACCAAUAGGACUGGCCAGAGCAGCGAAUAAGGAAAGCAACAGAACCAAUCCCAGGGGAGGAUCCAGAUGCUCUGACCAUCUGCGUAGGAGACUGGGUGAAACUACGAGUCCAUAAAAGAAAAUAGAACCAGCCAAGAUGGAUGGGACCCUUCAGGUGACCAUGGCAGCACUGCAAUCCGGGUAGCGGAAAGGUCUGGAUGGCACCAUCUCUCCCAUUGCAUGCUUCUCCCAGGUUGGCAACCGUCCUGCUUGGAGGACACAGAGGAGGAAAGAGGCUGAGAUCCACCGAUGAGGAGGGGCCAGAGGAGAAACGGGGAAGACCACAGCCAGAGGGCCGAGACCAAAGGCCAGAAGAACCAACCGAGGGUUCAGCCACAGAACCUGAAGAGACAUCAGAUGUCAAUGUCACCAUCAUACACACACAUUAUGGUUGUGAAACAAGAAAAUCGCAACCAUGGAAACACACAUGCAGGGUAUUUAUUGCUCUCCAAAUCCUACUCAUUACCCUUUAUGAAUGGGGAUAUGGUGAACAAUAAAUGGGUGAAAGCAGUGACAUACAUAGGAUUACAGGGGAAGGGGAACACAUCUGGCACACGGGUAAUGAUUUUCCUGAAACCCACCUCCACAGUCUCUCUGUGGGGAACCCAGGCAGUACCAAUUGGAAAGAAUGAUUUUGGAUGUGGAUUACUCCAUUUUAUGCAAAGGAACAAUACCAGGGUUCGACAAAGAAACAGCAAUUAUACUAUUCCGAUGUUGGUGACUAUGGGGAAGGAAGCAGCAUGGGAAAGUGGAUAAUCCAAUUAAACAACAGGUAAUAGUUCAGAUGCAGCUGAAUAAUUUAAGGAGGGUGGGCCCAAUGAGACCAAAUGGCCAAGGUGGAAGAAGGUUCCUAGUGUACAACCAGGUAACAUUUCCCAGCUGAUUAAAUGCAUAGGUACAAUGGGGGGAGUAUCUGACGGGUAGUAGAUGUUGUGUUGACAGGAGUAAAACCCACAAUAACUCUCCCUGCUUGUAUCUGAGGCUCAGGGAAUGUGGAUGUAGGAAACACCACUAAUUGCCUUUAUUACACAGGCCUAAAAACGGAUACCAGUAGUUUUGAUGUGCUUGAUGGGCAACAAUUGAUAACCAUGUUGAACAUGUCCAACAUAGGCAAAGGCAUGGGGACACCUCCAGAUCCUCUCUGGAUCUGUGGGGGUAAUGGCUACAUGUUCCUCCCCAUGGGAUGGAAAGGGUGUUGUUAUUUGGGGAAAACUGAACUGACAGCAGCAACAAUACCUGCUUCUGAGCUGCUGAACAGUUCACUGCAAAUUAGUUUCAGAUUGAAUGGCAGGGCUAAAAGAGCAGUGGCUCAAAAUAAUGAGUCUUAUGGACAUGUGCUGUCUCAGGUGGAGUUGGCAGCCCUAGUAAUCUUUCCAGGUGCAGUUGUAGUAAUGGGCAAGUGGGUUAACAAUCUAACCUACUCCAUGCAGUCUUUUACUAAUCUGACCGUACAGGGUUUUACUCAGUUAUCACUUGAUGUGCAGAAUUUGAAGGCAGUAGUGACCAGACACGAAAUGGCACUCGAUUACAUAUUGGCUAAAGACAGAGGGCCGUCAGGACCCUUGGAAUAGACACUGAUGAUUACUGUGUCAUGCUGCUCCCUGACUCCUCUUGUCAGGUAUGCGUAAAUGGCUGUAUGGGAGUCAGGCGCAGGAGAGCAGAUAUUGGGGCGCAAACGGAGCCUUUUAUUUAGGCGAACCAAAAACACAGCACAACGAACACGAAAUACAAUACGGGUUGACAUAACCCAGCGCAACCAGUCUAACGUGCGCAUACAAUAAACAAUCCCACACAAAGACAUGGGGGGAACAGAGGGUUAAAUACACAACAAGUGAUUGAGGGGAUUGAAACCAAGUGUGAGGAAAACAAGACACAACAAAUGGAAAAUGAAAAGUGGAUCGAUGAUGGCUAGAAGACCGUCGACUGCCGAGCGCCCCCCGAACAAGGAGAGGAACCGACUUCGGCGGAAGUCGUGACACCUCUGAUAAUAUGACAAACAUCAUUAGUAACCUGGUUAAAUUAGAAGGUACUCUGGGUAAAGCUGACAACACCAUCUUUGACCAAAUUGGAAACUAUUUCAAUGGUGCAUUUGGAAACAUGCUGGGUAAAGUGAUGAUGUUCCUGUCUGCCAUGAUUGUUCCGCUUCUGGUAGGGUUAUUGUGUUUUGAUGUUGCUUUCUGUAUAGUAAGGUGCUUGGCUAAAAAGACUGUUCAAUCAAUCAAUCAAGUUUAUUUUAUAUAACCCAUCGUAGAUCAGCUAAUAUCUCGAAGUGCUGUACAGAAACCCAGCCUAAAACCCCAAACAGCUAGUAAUGCAGGUGUAGAAGCACGGUGGCUAGGAAAAACUCCCUAGAAAGGCCAAAACCUAGGAAGAAACGUAGAGAGGAACCAGGCUAUGAGGGGUGGCCAGUCCUCUUCUGACUGUGCCGGGUGGAGAUUAUAACAGAACUAUGCCAAGAUGUUCAAAAAUGUUCAUAAGUGACAAGCAUGGUCAAAUAAUAAUCAUGAAUAAUUUUCAGUUGGCUUUCAUAGCCGAUCAUUAAGAGUUGAAAAACAACAGGUCUGGGACAGGUGGCGGUUCCAUAACCGCAGGCAGAACAGCUGAAACCGUAACAGCAGCAAGCCCAGGCGGACUGAGGACAGCAAGGAGCCACCACGCCCGGCAGUUCCGACGUAUGGUCCCAGGGCUCAGGUCCUCCGAGAGAAAGAAAGAGAGAAGGAGAAAAUUAGAGAGAGCCAAGAUUUUCAAAAUGUUCAUAAAUGACAAGCAUGGUCAAAUAAUAAUCAGGAAUAAAUCUCAGUUGGCUUUUCAUAGCCGAUCAUUAAGAGUUGAAAACAGCAGGUCUGGGACAGGUAGGGGUUGUUGAACAUUUGAACAUUUGGGGAUCAUGGUACUGCAAACUCAGACUGUUGAAUUGAGUCUCUAAAUAAUUGGAAUGACCCAGGUCUUGAUGUGGUAUCAGCUUAUCUUGAAGAUGACUCAGAUGGUGAGGAAUAUACUUUUGUCUGAGACUCUGGGUGAGUCUCAAAGGGGGGAAUUAAGAGUUAACCUUUCUAGGACACACGUUCCGCUAGCGGAACCCCCCCACAACAUUCUGCUGAAAAGGCAGCGCGGGAAAUUCAAAAAUAUAUUUUUUAAAUAUGUAACUUUCACACAUUAACAAGUCCAAUACAGCAAAUGAAAGAUAAACAUCUUGUUAAUCUACCCAUCGUGUCCGAUUUAAAAAAUGCUUUACAGCGAAAACACAACAUAUGAUUAUGUUAGAUCACCACCAAGUUCAAAAAACACACAGCCAUUUUCUCAGCCAAAGAUAGGAGUCACAAAAACAGAAAUAGAGAUAAAAUGAAUCACUAACCUUUGAUGAUCUUCAUCAGAUGACACUCAUAGGACAUCAUGUUACACAAUACAUGUAUUUUUUGUUCGAUAAUGUGCAUAUUUAUAUCCAAAAAUCUUAGUUUACAUUGGCGCCAUGUUCAGAAAUGCCUCCAAAAUAUCUGGAGAAAUUGCAGAGGGCCACGUCAAAUAACAGAAAUACUCAUCAUACACUGAUGAAAGAUACAUGUUUUACAUAUAAUUAAAGAUACACUUGUUCUUAAUGCAACCGCUGUGUCAGAUUUCAAAAAAACUUUACGGAAAAAGCACACCAUGCAAUAAUCUGAGACGGCGCUCAAAUAUAAAUAACAUUUCUUCGCCAUGUUGGAGUCAACAGAGAUACGAAAUUACAUCAUAAAUAUUCCCUUACCUUUGAUGAUCUUCAUCAGAAUGCAUUCCCAGGAAUCCUAGUUCGACAAUAAAUUGUUGUUUUGUUCGAUAAUGUCAAUUAUUUAUGUCCAAAUAGCUGCUUUUGCUAGCGCGUUUAGUACAUAUCCAAACGCUCGCGCAAAUGACGCAUAACAUCGGACGAAAACUUCAAAAAGUUAUAUUACAAUUCGAAUAAACUGGUCAAACAUAGUAGAGAAUCAAUCUUCAGGAUAUUGUUAUGAUAUAUAUCCAAUAACGUUCCAACCGGAGCAUUCCUUCAUGUCUGUAAAAGUUAUGGAACGCAAGCCGAUAUCAUGAGAAAUGCGCAUGACCAGGAAAUGGCAAUCUGCCAGACCACUGACUGAAACACCUCCCAUCCGGUCCCACAUCACAUUAUACACUUCAUUCAAUGUUCUACUGACUGUUGACAUCUAGUGGAAGGCGUAGGAAGUGCAAACAAAUCCAUAUCUUCCUGGGAUUUGAAUAGGCGAUGAGUAGAAAAAACACCAGCCUCAGAAUUUCCACUUCCUGUUUGGAAGAUUGCCUGCUAUAUGAGUUCUGUUAUACUCACAGACAUAAUUCAAAUUGUUUUAGAAACUUCAGAGUGUUUUCUAUCCAAUAGUAAUAAUAACAUGCAAAUAUUAGCAUCUGGGACAGAGUAGAAGGCAGUUCACUAUGGGCACGCAAUUCAUCCAAAGUGAAAAUGCCUAUCCCUAACCCUUAGUAUACCAGUAAAACUAUUACGAAUAAGUUCUGUAGAAAUGUUCAUAAAAAAGUUAUUUUGUGGAAGAAAAGGAGGCACAGGGGAAAAGGAACCAUAUUUCGGUAAUCCAACCAGUUGAAAAUAUGCAUUGGUACUUAAUGAAUAUGAUGUCAGUUUGGUUGUCAUCUGAGACAUUCUUAUUAAUGAUAGGAUGACAUAAACUGUAUCCUGGAAAGUCUACACAUUAUAGUUAUCAGAUUCACAUGGAAUUGUUGUGCAAUUUAAAUGUUUAAAUAUGAAACUAUUUGCGAAAAGAUUAAAUGGAAUUUUAGCUUCCAAAUGAGAGAAUUGGGUUUUCAUAGGGGUAAAGCUCUGCUCACUCAGUGGCCCGCCCAUGUGAAGAGACAUUAGUUGUAAACUAUGAAACAUGCCCUCUCUCCUACCACUAUAUAAAGCCCUUGAUGAAAAUGUAACCUCCUGUUCCGAGGACGUGAGGACGACGGUCCCAUGUUAAAAGGACUAAGAUGUCAACUACAGAACUAAGCCAACCUCAGCGUGAGCUUUGGUUGCGAAUGGUAUGAACUUUGAACUCUUAUUCACUACAGAAGUAAUACCUCCUAGCCGUUGAGUUAGCAGCGGCCGCUGUAAACAUGGGCUAGGAAAGGAGGGACGACUGAUCCAGUCUAACACACAACGACAAUACUACAAUGUAUCCAGUUUACCACCAGAGACAUUCUUCCGAGGACAGGAAGAUCUCUGUUGGGCAACACGACCUUCCAUCUACAACCAACCUAUUGAGGCGCAGCUCAGAGUAAAUAUUUAUUGCAUGUUCCUUUUCCAAAUGGGCGGUUAUUUAGAAUGCAUAAUAUUCUGUAUUUACGAUAGCGUAGCUUCUCCCUUUGUUCUUCAGUACUCCCGCGCUUUCAUUCAAGCCCAACCCCCUCUCUUUGUGUAACCAGCCGUCAUACCGGUUCCGUCCCCCAGGGUCGUUUUCUUGUAGGACAUAAUUAGUAAUCAAAGUAUGAUCCAGUCUGUGUAUAUGCAAUUCUGUGUGAUUAGUUAGGUAUUUAGUAAAUAAAUAAUUAAACCAAAGUUUGUAUUGCUGAUUCAACUUGUUAGCCAGGGUUCGUGAAGAUAACCAAGAAUUCUACGAUGUUCAGAUGAGACUGAAACAAGGUGACAAAUUAAUAUUGACUGCUAUUGAUGUAAAAGAUUACUAGGUCUUUAAGAGUUUAUUCGGAAGAUAACAGCUCUAUAAACAUUCUUUCGUUGUGCCCCGACUUUCUAGUUAAUUACAUUUACAUGAUUAGCUUAAUCAGGUAAUAUUAAUUACAGAGAAAUUAUUUUAUAGAAUAGCAUGUCAUAUCACUUAAUCCGGCAUAGCCAAAGACACGACAGUGUUCUAAUUUCCCAUUGGCCAUGGCUGUCCUCUGUCAUUAGCAAAGUUUCAUCUUCCUCUGCCAGGCCCAAAGUUUCCUUUCCCCCUGUUGUAACCUUUUCCAUUUCCCCCACACUGCGAACUCACAUACCCCAACUUCCCACAGGUCCAGCAUUGAGUGUGUGUCCAGUCACGAGGGGCUCUGGCGGGCCCAUAUCCUUUUCCAGUCCAUGGUUGUGGGUCUAUGGUUGUGGUGAGCCUGUAGAAACAACUUGACCAGAUAUCUAGGGUCUUCCAGUCUGUUCCUUUUUGUAGAGUGCAUUGGGGUGGCGAGGGAAAACUCCCUCAAGGAGCUGUGCCUCCUUUUCUUCCACAAAAUAACUUUUUAUGAACAUUUCUACAGAACUUCUUCGUAACAGUUUUACUGGUAUGUUAAGGGUUGUACAUUUCCAAUACUGUCCUAUGGUAGGUAAGUGUCACUAACAAAUACGGUCAACCUUUUAUUCAAAUAACUUCUGUCCUACUCCUAACUGUUUUUCCACCAUUGGGCCAUUACUGGGUUGGGUUGGCGCCCCCCCUUGAUUUGUGCUGUGGUGGAGAUCUUUGUGGGCUAUACUCAGCCUUGUCUCAGGAUGGUAAGUUGGUGUUUGAAGAUAUCCCUCUAGUGGUGUGGGGGCUGUGCUUUGGCAAAGUGGGUGGGGUUAUAUCCUGCCUGUUUGGCCCUGUCCGGGGGUAUCAUCGGAUGGGGCCACAGGGUCUCCUGACCCCUCCUGUCUCAGCCUCCAGUAUUUAUGCUGCAGUAGUUUAUGUGUCGGGGGGCUAGGUUCAGUUGGUUAUAUCUGGAGUACUUCUCCUGUCUUAUCCGGUGUCCUGUGUGAAUUUAAGUAUGCUCUCUCUAAUUCUCUCCUUCUCUCUUUCUUUCUCUCUCUCGGAGGACCUAGGACCAUGCGUCAGGACUACCGGGCAUGAUGACUCCUUGCUGUCCCCAGUCCACCUGGCCUUGCUGCUGUUCCAGUUUCAACUGUUCUGCCUGCGGCUAUGGAACCCUGACCUGUCCACCGGACGUGCUACCUGUCCCAGACCUGCUGUUUUCAACUCUCUAGAGACCGCAGGAGCGGUAGAGAUACUCUUAAUGAUCGGCUAUGAAAAGCCAACUGACAUUUACUCCUGAUUAUUAUUUGACCAUGCUGGUCAUUUAUGAACAUUUGAACAUCUUGGCCAUGUUCUGUUAUAAUCUCCACCCGGCACAGCCAGAAGAGGACUGGCCACCCCUCAUAGCCUGGUUCCUCUCUAGGUUUCUUCCUAGGUUUUGGCCUUUCUAGGGAGUUUUUCCUAGCCGCCGUGCUUCUACACCUGCAUUGCUUGCUGUUUGGGGUUUUAGGCUGGGUUUCUGUACAGCACUUCGAGAUAUUAGCUGAUGUACGAAGGGCUAUAUAAAAUAAACUUGAUUUGAUUUGAUUACCCAAUAAACCCUGCCAUAAUCCACAGACAAACAAACAAUGAAACAUACAAAGCACUAUACAUAAACAACUCAACUCAUUCACUUGGUAAAUUUCCCACAUAAUUACCACUAUUCAUAACCAACUCAACUCAUUCACUGGGUACCUCUACAAAAAUACAAAAUAACUAGUAUUCAGUAAUAGUCGCGGCUUUACUAGCCAAAAUAAAAUUGAUGAUUAACACUGAAUCACCUCUUCAAAACCAAAAGUAAUGAUCACUGCAUUACCUCCCAAUAUAUAAUGAAUAAUUAUCACUGAAUCACCUCUUCAAAACCAAAAGUAAUGAUCACUGCAUUACCUCCCAAUAUAUAAUGGAUAAUUAUCACUGAAUCACCUCUUCAAACAAUCAUUUCAUUCAUCAUAUAUUGACAUCAUGCAUUUCACCAAUAGCCGUUAUUUCUCCAAACUAAAACCUGACUAUGUCAUAUUCAAAGUGUAUGUCUAUAUUUUAGAGUGAGUGAAGUGCCACUUACUUGUUAGAGGGGAACCACACCAGUAAAUGCCAUUUAAAUACAGACUUAGAUAGGUGUCUGCUUACCUUAUUUAAUUUAGAGCUCUGGCACCAUGGUGUGGAAUCUCCUCCUCCAUGGUGUGGAAUCUCCUCGGGGUUGACACUCACUCCCGGCAAGCUCGCCAAAUGUUGGGGUUCGUUUCCUUGUUCCUUGUCAAUCAUUGACUCAUUGGUGAAAUUAGCAUUAUGACAAUAUCUUUAAUUAAAUCAUUCAAAAACCUGUAUUAAUGCAAUUGCAGACAGAAGUUGACAUCAGGAACAUAAUGCAUGUUUCUGAGUAAGUUCUGCAAAAUAUAAAAGGUCCCAAGUUAUUUUAUUAAACCCAAAGUCCAGCCCUUGUGUUGUCACUGCAUACGUCAUUACCUUCUGCUUUUCAGACCAAGCCCAUUCAUACACAGCUAUAUAAACUUGCAAGAGAGAUGCAAUAGUUCCAGUGUUUUAUAAGUUCUAGGCAAUAAAUGUUCACUCCCCAAAGUUGA